rnacentral:rRNA from 1 species
GGCUCACCAAGGCAACGAUGCGUAGCCGACUUGAGAGGGUGAUCGGCCACACUGGGACUGAGACACGGCGCAGACUCCUACGGGAGGCAGCAGUAGGGAAUCUUCCGCAAUGGACGAAAGUCUGACGGAGCAACGCCGCGUGAGUGAUGAAGGUCUUCGGAUCGUAAAGCUCUGUUGUUAGGGAAGAACAAGUACCGUUCGAAUAGGGCGGUACCUUGACGGUACCUAACCAGAAAGCCACGGCUAACUACGUGCCAGCAGCCGCGGUAAUACGUAGGUGGCAAGCGUUGUCCGGAAUUAUUGGGCGUAAAGGGCUCGCAGGCGGUUUCUUAAGUCUGAUGUGAAAGCCCCCGGCUCAACCGGGGAGGGUCAUUGGAAACUGGGGAACUUGAGUGCAGAAGAGGAGAGUGGAAUUCCACGUGUAGCGGUGAAAUGCGUAGAGAUGUGGAGGAACACCAGUGGCGAAGGCGACUCUCUGGUCUGUAACUGACGCUGAGGAGCGAAAGCGUGGGGAGCGAACAGGAUUAGAUACCCUGGUAGUCCACGCCGUAAACGAUGAGUGCUAAGUGUUAGGGGGUUUCCGCCCCUUAGUGCUGCAGCUAACGCAUUAAGCACUCCGCCUGGGGAGUACGGUCGCAAGACUGAAACUCAAAGGAAUUGACGGGGGCCCGCACAAGCGGUGGAGCAUGUGGUUUAAUUCGAAGCAACGCGAAGAACCUUACCAGGUCUUGACAUCCUCUGACAAUCCUAGAGAUAGGACGUCCCCUUCGGGGGCAGAGUGACAGGUGGUGCAUGG